CAGACCAGCCUGGCCAACAUGGUGAAACCUCAUCUCUACUAAAAUUACGAAAAAUUAGUCAGGUGUGGUGACGGGUGCCUAUAAUCCCAGCUACUUGGGAGGCUGAGGCAGUAGAAUCGCUUGAACCCGGGAUGCGGAAGUUGCAGUGAGCCAAGAUCACGCCACUGUACUCCAUCUUGGGCGACAGAGCGCAACUCUGUCUCCAAAAAAAAAAAAAAAAAAGGGCAGGGGGAGCGGCUAGAGAAGGAACAUUCAAAUCUUCCCACGUGGGCAAGUUCCAAGCAAAUGUUUAUUUUUUUACCUCCUCUUUGGUUUUUGUCUCACUUGAAGCACUUUGUGUUUAUGGGAAAAUACCAAAAAUUACCAAAAUUUAAAAACCCAGGGCUUUGCUGGAAGUGAGGGUAUCUUCUUGGCUUUUCCCUUUUCCUCCCCACCACUAUACGCACAUGCACACACAGCUCUAUUUUUUGGUGCUUUUCGUUCAUUAUUCACUCCAUUUCAUUUUAGCUCUUGAAGUCAAAAUGGGAUUCCAAAGAGCAAAAUAGAAGUUUGGAGAGUUUGAAAUCUCUCCUCGUGGCUGGACGCCGUGGCUCACACCUGUGAUCCCAGCACUUUGGGAGGCCAAGGCAGGCAUACUGCUUGAACUCAGGAGUUCAAGACCAGCCUGGGGAACAUGGUAAAACCCUGUCUCUACAAAAAAUAGAAAAAUUAGCUGGGCAUGGUGGCUGUAGUCCCAGCUAUUUGGGAGGCUGAGGUGGGAGGAUCACUUGAGCCUGGGGAGGUUGAGACUGCACUGAGUCUUGAAUGAAUGAAUCCAUCUCUCUUUCUCUCUCCAUAUAGUCAAAGAGAACCAAAAAUGUAUGUGCUUUUUUUGUGAAAUUGUUAAGGAUUCCAUGAUCCUACUAAAAUUUUUGAUAAUGAUAAUUUCAAGUGGAGAAUAUAUAAAGGACUCGUGAGGCCUUCCUACCUCAUUUUCUGAGGUUAUGUUGACUUUAAUAUCCAAUGUAUCAUAGGUGUUUUCUUUUUUCUCUGACAAUUGUUAUGUUAAAAACAAAAAGAAGCACAUACUGUACAGUCAAAACUAUCAGACGUAACUCUGUGGGAAACUUUAUUCCAAGGGUGCUGCCACUGCCCUUGUUUUAAAUAUUUUUGGAACUUCAUUUCUCUUCAGGUCUAUUUAAUAAGCUUGUUAGGAAUAUUGUAAAUUAUUUUAGAAACACAUUGUGGUCUCAGCCUCAUGUGGCAUUGCCACUUGUUACUACAUGACCCCCCCACACCCCCUAAAAAAGAAAAAGGACUUUAAAAACCCUCUCAGGACAAACAUUUGCUACCGUGGUUGAUUUUUUAAUUUUACAUUAACUAUUUAAUAUCAGACUAUAACUAAAAUACAAGUAGUGGAAUUAUACUUUUAUAAAGUAUCAAAUUAUGUAGAUGAUGACGAAGUUAUAAGGUUACUAUAAUUUCCAACUUCACCCAUAGGUCAUGGUAUAGU
rnacentral:lncRNA from 1 species